GGUUAAGCGACUAAGCGUACACGGUGGAUGCCCUGGCAGUCAGAGGCGAUGAAGGACGUGCUAAUCUGCGAAAAGCGCCGGCGAGGUGAUAUGAACCUUUGACCCGGCGAUGUCCGAAUGGGGAAACCCAGUGCAAUCCGUUGCACUAUCGUUAACUGAAUACAUAGGUUAACGAGGCGAACCGGGGGAACUGAAACAUCUAAGUACCCCGAGGAAAAGAAAUCAACCGAGAUUCCCCCAGUAGCGGCGAGCGAACGGGGAGCAGCCCGGAGUCUGAAUCAGCUUGUGUGUUAGUGGAACGGUCUGGAAAGUCCGACGGUACAGGGUGAUAGUCCCGUACACGAAAGCACACUUGCUGUGAACUCGAAGAGUAGGGCGGGACACGUGGUAUCCUGUCUGAAUAUGGGGGGACCAUCCUCCAAGGCUAAAUACUCCUGACUGACCGAUAGUGAACCAGUACCGUGAGGGAAAGGCGAAAAGAACCCCGGCGAGGGGAGUGAAAAAGAACCUGAAACCGUGUACGUACAAGCAGUGGGAGCCUCUUUAUGGGGUGACUGCGUACCUUUUGUAUAAUGGGUCAGCGACUUAUAUUCUGUAGCAAGGUUAACCGUAUAGGGGAGCCGAAGGGAAACCGAGUCUUAACUGGGCGUUAAGUUGCAGGGUAUAGACCCGAAACCCGGUGAUCUAGCCAUGGGCAGGUUGAAGGUUGGGUAACACUAACUGGAGGACCGAACCGACUAAUGUUGAAAAAUUAGCGGAUGACCUGUGGCUGGGGGUGAAAGGCCAAUCAAACCGGGAGAUAGCUGGUUCUCCCCGAAAGCUAUUUAGGUAGCGCCUCGUGAACUCAUCUUCGGGGGUAGAGCACUGUUUCGGCUAGGGGGCCAUCCCGGCUUACCAACCCGAUGCAAACUACGAAUACCGAAGAAUGUUAUCACGGGAGACACACGGCGGGUGCUAACGUCCGUCGUGAAGAGGGAAACAACCCAGACCGCCAGCUAAGGUCCCAAAGUCAUGGUUAAGUGGGAAACGAUGUGGGAAGGCACAGACAGCCAGGAUGUUGGCUUAGAAGCAGCCAUCAUUUAAAGAAAGCGUAAUAGCUCACUGGUCGAGUCGGCCUGCGCGGAAGAUGUAACGGGGCUAAACCAUGCACCGAAGCUGCGGCAGCGACGCUUAGGCGUUGUUGGGUAGGGGAGCGUUCUGUAAGCCGUUGAAGGUGUCCUGUGAGGGGUGCUGGAGGUAUCAGAAGUGCGAAUGCUGACAUAAGUAACGAUAAAGCGGGUGAAAAGCCCGCUCGCCGGAAGACCAAGGGUUCCUGUCCAACGUUAAUCGGGGCAGGGUGAGUCGACCCCUAAGGCGAGGCCGAAAGGCGUAGUCGAUGGGAAACAGGUUAAUAUUCCUGUACUUGGUGUUACUGCGAAGGGGGGACGGAGAAGGCUAUGUCAGCCGGGCGACGGUUGUCCCGGUUUAAGCAUGUAGGCGGAGGUUCCAGGUAAAUCCGGUACCUUGUUAACGCUGAGGUGUGAUGACGAGGCACUACGGUGCUGAAGUGAUAAAUGCCCUGCUUCCAGGAAAAGCCUCUAAGCAUCAGGUAACACGAAAUCGUACCCCAAACCGACACAGGUGGUCAGGUAGAGAAUACCAAGGCGCUUGAGAGAACUCGGGUGAAGGAACUAGGCAAAAUGGUGCCGUAACUUCGGGAGAAGGCACGCUGAUAUGUAGGUGAAGCCCCUGCGGGCGGAGCUGAAAUCAGUCGAAGAUACCAGCUGGCUGCAACUGUUUAUUAAAAACACAGCACUGUGCAAACACGAAAGUGGACGUAUACGGUGUGACGCCUGCCCGGUGCCGGAAGGUUAAUUGAUGGGGUUAGCGGCAACGCGAAGCUCUUGAUCGAAGCCCCGGUAAACGGCGGCCGUAACUAUAACGGUCCUAAGGUAGCGAAAUUCCUUGUCGGGUAAGUUCCGACCUGCACGAAUGGCGUAAUGAUGGCCAGGCUGUCUCCACCCGAGACUCAGUGAAAUUGAACUCGCUGUGAAGAUGCAGUGUACCCGCGGCAAGACGGAAAGACCCCGUGAACCUUUACUAUAGCUUGACACUGAACACUGGUCCUUGAUGUGUAGGAUAGGUGGGAGGCUUUGAAGCGUGGACGCCAGUCUGCGUGGAGCCAACCUUGAAAUACCACCCUUUAAUGGCUGGUGUUCUAACGUAGACCCGUAAUCCGGGUUGCGGACAGUGUCUGGUGGGUAGUUUGACUGGGGCGGUCUCCUCCCAAAGAGUAACGGAGGAGCACGAAGGUUGGCUAAUCCUGGUCGGACAUCAGGAGGUUAGUGCAAUGGCAUAAGCCAGCUUGACUGCGAGCGUGACGGCGCGAGCAGGUGCGAAAGCAGGUCAUAGUGAUCCGGUGGUUCUGAAUGGAAGGGCCAUCGCUCAACGGAUAAAAGGUACUCCGGGGAUAACAGGCUGAUACCGCCCAAGAGUUCAUAUCGACGGCGGUGUUUGGCACCUCGAUGUCGGCUCAUCACAUCCUGGGGCUGAAGUAGGUCCCAAGGGUAUGGCUGUUCGCCAUUUAAAGUGGUACGCGAGCUGGGUUUAGAACGUCGUGAGACAGUUCGGUCCCUAUCUGCCGUGGGCGCUGGAGAAUUGAGGGGGGCUGCUCCUAGUACGAGAGGACCGGAGUGGACGCAUCACUGGUGUUCGGGUUGUCAUGCCAAUGGCACUGCCCGGUAGCUAAAUGCGGAAGAGAUAAGUGCUGAAAGCAUCUAAGCACGAAACUUGCCCCGAGAUGAGUUCUCCCUGAGACUUUAAGUCUCCUGAAGGAACGUUGAAGACGACGACGUUGAUAGGUCGGGUGUGUAAGCGCAGCGAUGCGUUGAGCUAACCGAUACUAAUGAACCGUGAGGCUUAACCUU
rnacentral:rRNA from 1 species